rnacentral:rRNA from 1 species
UACGGAGGUGCAAGCGUUAUCCGGAUUUACUGGGUUUAAAGGGUGUGUAGGCGGGCUUUUAAGUCAGUGGUGAAAUCUCCGGGCUCAACCCGGAAACUGCCAUUGAUACUAUUAGUCUGAAUUUUGUUGUAGGUAGGCGGAAUAAGUCAUGUAGCGGUGAAAUGCUUAGAUAUGACUUAGAACACCAAUUGCGAAGGCAGCUUGCUAAACAACAUUGACGCUGAGGCACGAAAGCGUGGGAGUCAAACAGGA